GAUGAACGCUGGCGGCAUGCCUAAUACAUGCAAGUCGAACGAAGCACUUGAAGUUUUCGGAUGGAAAGUGACUGAGUGGCGGACGGGUGAGUAACGCGUGGAUAACCUGCCUCAUACAGGGGGAUAACAGUUAGAAAUGACUGCUAAUACCGCAUAAGCGCACAGUACCGCAUGGUACGGUGUGAAAACCUCCGGUGGUAUGCGAGGGAUCCGCGUCUGAUUAGCUAGUUGGCGGGGUAACGGCCCACCAAGGCGACGAUCAGUAGCCGACCUUAGAGGGUGACCGGCCACAUUGGGGCUGAGACACGGCACAGACUCCUACGGGGGGCAGCAGUGGGGAAUAUUGCACAAUGGGCGAAAGCCUGAUGCAGCGGCGCCGCGUGAGUGAAGAAGUAUUUCGGUAUGUAAAGCUCUAUCAGCAGGGAAGAAAAUGACGGUACCUGACUAAGAAGCCCCGGCUAACUACGUGCCAGCAGCCGCAGUAACAC
rnacentral:rRNA from 1 species